ensembl:lncRNA LINC00882 long intergenic non-protein coding RNA 882
GAGUUCUCAGCGCCUCCCGCCGCGCAGGCUCGGCGUUGGCCUCCGCGGCCCGUGCGAGUGCGCCCUUCUCGGGUCCCCUAGGUCGCGGGGCAGCCGGGGCGGAAGGGGCUUGUUCAUUAUUUUGAGAGUUUGUUGUGAACGUCAUAACCUUUCGUCCUUAAAUAUUGCCGAUACUUGACCUACGCAAGAGACAAUGUCAUGUGAUUCAGCCUAAUAUCUCAAUGUAAUAAGGACUUAUGAACAGAAGACAUGUCUGUGUGCCAGGCAGCUGUGAGACAAAAUCGUGGAUCUCCGCACUGUAAACCCCCAGACCCAGGACUUACAUAACCUAGGGAAAUGUUGUUUCAGAAGGGAUGUGUAGGACAGUUGAAGUACAAGAACAUCAAGGUCAUUUCACCCAAGGGCAGAAUUUAUGGAGGAUGCAGCAUUCAAGGUUCUAUCUUGGAAGCAGAGACUGUGCCCUCACCAGAUGCUGAACCUGCUGAGCACCCUGAUCUUCCACUUCACCUUCAUCAGAACUGGUGCUAAGAAUUCUGAAUUUAUUGAGGAAAUAAAUGUCUGAUUGCAACAAAAGAAAACUUGUCUGGCUUUGGGAAGGAAGAGGCUUAGGAAAAAAAUUAAAGGCGUCUUUACUAGAAGUUCAAGACUGGGGCUGUGGCUGAGAUGUCACAUGGCAGAUAGGAUCACAAAUUUCUGUUGUAUCUGGAUGGAGAUCAGCAGGAGGAUCUAUGGGUGAGAAGAAGCACAGUUACAGAUGGAUUCUAGAGCCUGCUUGCUGACACAGGCUUGCAACUGCGGACUUUAUAAGCUUAGUUUUUAAUCUGCUAUCAGCUAGCAUAAUACCAUAAAUGCAUAAGAAACUAAGUAUUCAGUCUUACGAGAAAUGCUAUCUUGACCUGACCCUUUCUCCAAAUAAAUUGACAAAAUAUCUCAUCGUCUAGGAUGCCAGACAGAAAUACCAGUUGCAAUGUUUUGUUGCAUAAAGUUUAUCCUAAUUUAAAUUAGUGGCAUAUAAAGUCAUCAUCUUGCUUGAACAAACAUCUUAUUAAAUUGAGCAUGUCUUUUAUCCCAUGAAAUGAAAUUAAUUUUGAGAUAGUUAUUUUUCAGUUGGAAAUUUAUUGAGUUGAUAGAAAACAAGUUAUAUAGUCUUCCAAAGAAUAUGUUACAUCCAUUUGCAUUUUGUUUUUCUUCAGCAAUGUUUGGUUUUUAGAAAAUCUUACAAGUUAAAUAUACUAAUGUAGAAAUUGAAAGAAAAUAAUCAGAGAUAGAGCAAUAAAUUUGCAAAUAAAGAUUAUUCUUAAAACAAA